GAUGAACGCUGGCGGCGUGCCUAACACAUGCAAGUCGAGCGAAAAGACGAGGAGCUUGUUCCUCUGACGUUAGCGGCGGACGGGUGAGUAACACGUGGAUAACCUACCUAUAAGACUGGGAUAACUUCGGGAAACCGGAGCUAAUACCGGAUAAUAUACUGAACCGCAUGGUUCAAUAGUGAAAGACGGUUUUGCUGUCACUUAUAGAUGGAUCCGCGCCGCAUUAGCUAGUUGGUAAGGUAACGGCUUACCAAGGCGACGAUGCGUAGCCGACCUGAGAGGGUGAUCGGCCACACUGGAACUGAGACACGGUCCAGACUCCUACGGGAGGCAGCAGUAGGGAAUCUUCCGCAAUGGGCGGAAGCCUGACGGAGCAACGCCGCGUGAGUGGUGAAGGUCUUCGGAUCGUAAAGCUCUGUUAUUAGGGAAGAACAAAUGUGUAAGUAACUAUGCACGUCUUGACGGUACCUAAUCAAAAAGCCACGGCUAACUACGUG
rnacentral:rRNA from 1 species